GGGAGAAGCGGAUUUGUUCCAAUUUCUCUCAGUGAUCCCGCCUCCUGCAAGCGGACUUUUUACUGCCGCAGAGACAGAAGCAAGUCGGUGAGUGAAGCAUUUGUCAAUUAUUAUGAAGUAUUGGACGGAAAACAUGUUAAAAACUUAUAAUUCCGUCUGACAUUAGUCAUACUGAGCUAACCGAGGUGUUUGUAUGUUGUGAAAUAGUUGAGUGACGGAUGACACAGCGUAAAGUUAGAGCAUUAUUAGUUCUUACAAUGUCAGACUUUAAUUUUACUGUAAGGAAUUUAUUAUAUAAACGUUUUUAUAAAUUGCUUUGUUUUAGCCAGCUAACGUUCAUGCUGUUAAAACCAUUUUAAACACUGUACUGCAGGCUGAUAGCAUGCUAACACACCCACCGCUGUCGGCUGGUCGGUGUGUUUCAUACUGCUUAUGUGAUUAACAGUCCAGCGGAGCUGAAGGCAGCCGGCAUGUUUUAUGGGGAAACUAGCAGCUGGUCGAGUGGCUGGUGGAUUCCUUAAGCCUUUCUGUUCCACCAGGAGAGAAAGUGCAGCUCCUCACCUUAUGAAUAUUCAAUUAGCCAUGCUGCCAGGAAGGUAAACAGAGGCGGAGCCUGCCAUAGGCAACAAGCGGAGAGAAACAACAGUCAAAAGGUCUCUUUUAUUUACAGUUUUUACAAUGUACAAAACAUCUACUAAGACUCCACACUCUUCUGCAGUAAUUCUGCCUCGGUUAAACUGUUUUAAUACCCCCUGAAGCGCUUCUCCAGCUUUGCCACAGCCGGGGAUCGAACCGCUGACCGCUGAGCCCCCUCCUCUUUUUACUCAGUCAAUGAACUGUCGCCUCAACUCGGCCAAUGGCCUUCUGCGGAGAUGUCCCGCCCCUUCCAAUCACCGCACAGUAUCUGUUCCCGUUAGGCAGAACACACAGCCAAUCCGAUGGCUCAAUUUGUUCCAAUUGCGAGAAUCAAUGUUUUUGGCAUCCAAUGGGAGAAGCGGAUUUGUUCCAAUUUCUCUCAGUGAUCCCGCCUCCUGCAAGCGGACUUUUUACUGCCGCAGAGACAGAAGCAAGUCGUCCAGCGGAGCUGAAGGCAGCCGGCAUGUUUUAUGGGGAAACUAGCAGCUGGUCGAGUGGCUGGUGGAUUCCUUAAGCCUUCCUGUUCCACCAGGAGAGAAAGUGCAGCUCCUCACCGUAUGAAUAUUCAAUUAGCCAUGCUGCCAGGAAGGUAAACAGAGGCGGAGCCUGCCAUAGGCAACAAGCGGAGAGAAGCAACAGUCAAAAGGUCGCUUUUAUUUACAGUUUUUACAAUGUACAAAACAUCUACUAAGACUCCACACUCUUCUGCAGUAAUUCUGUCUCGGUUAAACUGCUUUACAACCCCUGAAGCGCUUCUCCAGCUUUGCCACAGCCGGGGAUCGAACCGCUGACCGCUGAGCCCCCUCCUCUUUUUACUCAGUCAAUGAACUGUCGCCUCAACUCGGCCAAUGGCCUUCUCGGAGAUGUCCCGCCCCUUCCAAUCGCCGCACAGUAUUUGUUCCCUUUAGGCAGAACACACAGCCAAUCAGAUGGCUGAAUUUGUUCCAAUUGCGAGAAUCAAUGUUUUUCGCAUCCAAUGGGAGAAGCGGAUUUGUUCCAAUUUCUCUCAGUGAUCCCGCCUCCUGCAAGCGGACUUUUUACUGCCGCAGAGACAGAAGCAAGUCGUGAGUGAUGGAUGACACAGCGUAAAGUUAGAGCCGGACCAGACUCCACUCAAGUGGAGACAACAUAAAAGGAAGUGGUGCUGCCAGUGUUCCUCCCUUUUUUCCUCAAUCAUAACAUUCUGUCAUUUGGUUAUUUUAAGUGUUACGAUUAGUCAAGCCGGGAAACAGGGAAUGCCAGGGAACAGGACCCAAAUACUUACUAUUUAUUAAAAAAAAAAAAAAAAAAAAAAAAAAAAAAAGGCUUACACUGAAUUGGCGGGCAAAGCAACUCUCAGUUGGUAAGCAGUCCAAAACAGAAACACAAGUCCCAUAGUGAGCAGGCAAAAUCUAAAAUCCAAAAUCUGCAGACAAAAUCCACAAGGUCCACAAGAUUCAAGGCCAAGCGGAAGAUCUCAGGCUGACGACCCAGGGGCAGGACAGAAACGGGGCAGCGAACCUCAGGACGGUCCGGGGGCAGGACAGAUAAAGGGCUGGGAGCCUCAGGCGGAUGGCUCGAGGACUGAAAAGAAGAGCAGAGCAAGUCAGGGGGGCGCCCAGGAGGCAGGGCUGAAGGGCUGAGCAGGUCUCGGUGAUGACCAGAUGUACGAAGCAACUCAGGAGGUCGGCGACAAAGGCAAAAUCCCUCCGGAGGCCGGACUGGAGACCGGCGGCGAAGGCAGAACCUCUCCGGAGGCCGGCGAUGAAGGCGGAACCCUUCCAGAGGAAGGAUGUGGCUGCUGCGACCCAACCUGAGGCAGGAUGCUUGACAGAUGUACAAUGACGAUCUGACACAGAACAAAGGAAGAACACAGACUAAAUACACUCAGUGUCAGAUCGUCGUUGUACCAUGUGCCCUGCGUUUGGCCCCAGUUCUGCAUUUUUCCUAUGCCUCUGUGUCCUCUGUGGAUUUACCUUUAUUGAACUUCUCAAGGAUUAGUCUUUGUUGGAUGUUUUACCUGAACUUCUUAGCCGCCCUCAGUUGUUUUUGUCUUCCUUCAUAAGAAACUUGCGCUCCAGAGUCGACCCUCGACAAAAUAUCUGGCAUUCUUAUGAGCGAUGGAGGAAAUCUAUGUGAAUGUUGAAUAUGACAAAUCUGACUCAAAAAUGUCACAGAAUCAGACAGGUCCCAGGAGCCCAGAGAGCAGGUUUCAUGGAGCUGUUGUUCUCUUUCUGGGGCUGCUGAAUGUUUUCCUGCUGGCUUUGCUCAUCUGCCUCGGUGUCCUCUACCAUAACUCAAUACGUGGCUCAGCUGCAGAUUUCUCCACUAUCAAAGCCAACCUGACUGAGCGUCUCCAGGCCAGUGAUAACAGGUCUUCUUCCCUGACUGAAGCAAGAGACCUGCUGAAUGCCAGCCUCGUUGAAAUGGCUAAAGAGUUGAAAAAGCUUCAGAAUUUGUCCAAACAGGGAGUACCUGCAUGUGGUAUUUAGAUUUACUUGCUGUUUCUUUAAACAUUUCUUACUCAGAAAUUCCAUGAUAAAAUCACCCUGCAUUGUGUUAUGGUAUUUUUAGUAUUUACUCUAUGAUUUAGUAGCCAGUUUCAGUCCAAAACUAGAAAUUUUAUUAAUGAAAUGUGGAUAAAACAAAAGUGGUCUCUAUCUCUGCAUGUUACUGCAUUGUGGCAGUAAAUCUUUCUCUCUUCACAGAUGACAAAUUCUAGUUUCAUACUGAAUGCUAAACUGCGGACACAACAGCUAACUAUUCUCUGUUGGCUGCACAAGAGUUACACUGCAUGAGAUGAUCACUAGUAGAUGAGACCAUUUAUAUGGUUCAUUUUUUAAACUUUCGUCUUGUUCUUGUGAAAAAUGUAAUAAUUACAAUCAUAAUCAAUCAAGCAGGUCAAAAGUUUGAAAAAACAAGCAGAAAAAUCACAAUUUGGAGUCAAGUCUCAAAGUAUCCACCAAGGUUACACCAACCAAAUGAGCAGCAUUAAAGGGUCAUUCAUUGAAGAAGUUGACAUACAGACCUAACUUCACAAAUACAUUAACAUGAGUCUUGUUGAUCUGUAGUUUCUCUUGAUAUAUCUUGCAGAGAAAACCUGUCCUGCAGGAUGGACGAUGUUCAGUUAUGCCUGUUAUUUCCUCUCUGAUGAGUCUGGUUCCUGGGAUAAAGGCAGAGAGUACUGCAGAGGCAAAGGAGCAGAUCUGGUAGUGAUAACCAGCACUGAAGAGCAGCGUUUUCUCUUGGGGUUAACCAAGAAACCUUCGUGGAUUGGUUUGAACGACAGAGAUGUGGAGGGGACCUGGAAAUGGAUAGAUGGAACUCCACUGAAUCUGACGUACUGGCACAACAAUCAGCCUGAUAAUGGUGGCGGGAGCCAAAAGUGGGGUGAAGAGGACUGUGCACAUAUCAGAACGGAGUGGAGCAAUCAUUGGAAUGAUUUAUCAUGUAAUGCUGCUCUGCAAUGGAUCUGUGAAAAAAUUGCGUAACACUGUUACAUAUAAAAGAUUUGCGGAUCCUUUUACAAUGUAAGCUAUGAUUACGCAAAGCUUUAGUAAUAAGUGUUCAUGUAUGUUUGUAAAAUGUAUGUAUGCGAUUGUGCUGAAGACUGUGCUGUACAAAUUUAAACACCUCAAAAUUGCAGCUGUAGCUAAAUAGAAAAAUAAAGUAGAACAU